CAGCUUGACUUCUUGGGCUCCUUCCAUCCAUCUGAGAAAAUCAUGGCCCAGGUAGCCAAAUAAGAUUGGUAAAAGUCCCUGCUGUUCAACUGUAUUCUAUUAAGAUCACAAAAAGAGGAAAUGAACCAAAAAGUGGUGACAAGAAAGAUGAUAGCCUGUGGACAAAUGGUCUGGCUUACGGUAUUUAAGGGAAAAUCUGGGCAUUAUUCCAGGAGCUACGUGACAAGUUGUGUGUGUGGAGUGUUUGUUAUACUUCAUGAAGCCGUUCCUCUGGCAAGAUGGUCCCUCGUGGUGUUAGCAACCCAGGAACGAAGUGGUGGGGAAGAUGGGAUAGCAGGAGAAAAGGGAAAAAAGGAAAUACUGUUUUUCCUGUGGAUCACAUAAGGAGUACUGAAGAACUCAAGACAGAGCUGCCAGGAGUUUCGAGAUGCAUUCAGUAAAGAGACACUGGAUGCUAGAGGAAGCAAUUGUAAGUGAUCUAGUGGAGAAAUUGUCUUUCCACAUUCAAAAACAAAACUACAGGUGAGAAAUGACCAGUGAUAGGGUGUUUUCAAAAAACAGGUAACAGCACACAUGAGAAAUAAAGUUUAGCUUUUAAAUACUAGCCAGCCCAAGAAGCACGGAAAUCAGCUUAUAGUAGUAGUGGUCAAUAAAUACAUUUUCUACUCCCUUAGUUUUACAGUGCCUCGUUGCUCCAAACUCAAAGCAGAUAAAAGUAGCAUACUGAGUGAGAGAGAGGGAAUAAAAACUCUUAAUUUUAUUGGUUAUGUUUUCAAAAAUGUUAUUGGAUGAAAUUAUGAGUAUGUGGUAAAACAACAACAACAAAACUUCCAUGAAUACUCCAGCUAUGUGCUUUAACAGUAUUUUUAAACCUUCUGAAUAAAACAGUCCAUUGGCUAACUCUGUCUGAGA